rnacentral:rRNA from 1 species
GACGAACGCUGGCGGCGUGCUUAACACAUGCAAGUCGAACGGUAAGGCCCUUUCGGGGUACGACGAGUGGCGAACGGGUGAGUAACACGUGGGUGAUCUGCCCUGCACUUUGGGAUAAGCCUGGGAAACCGGGUCUAAUACUGGAUAUGACUCCAUGACGCAUGUUGUGGGGUGGAAAGCCUUGUGCGGCUGAGGAUGGGCCCGCGGCCUAUCAGCUUGUUGGUGGGGUGAUGGCCUACCAAGGCGA